rnacentral:rRNA from 1 species
UACGUCGGGUGCGAGCGUUGUCCGGAAUUAUUGGGCGUAAAGGGCUCGUAGGCGGUCUGUUGCGUCGGGUGUGAAAACUCAGGGCUUAACCCUGAGCCUGCUUCCGAUACGGGCAGACUAGAGGUAUGCAGGGGAGAACGGAAUUCCUGGUGUAGCGGUGAAAUGCGCAGAUAUCAGGAGGAACACCGGUGGCGAAGGCGGUUCUCUGGGCAUUACCUGACGCUGAGGAGCGAAAGUGUGGGGAGCGAACAGG